rnacentral:rRNA from 1 species
AAUGAACGAAAGUUUGACACAGCGACACCGCGUGUGGGAUGACGGAUCUAGGUUUGUAAACCACUUUCAGGAGGGAAGAAAAUGACGGUACCUCCACAAGAAGCCCCGGCCAACUACGUGCCAGCAGCCGCGGUAAUACGUAGGGGGCGAGCGUCGUCCGGAUUUAUUGGGCGUAAAGAGCUCGUAGGCGGUUCAACAAGUCGGUCGUGAAAGUUCAGGGCUCAACCCUGAAAUGCGAUCGAUACUGUCGGACUGGGAUACGGUAGAGGUGAGUGGAAUUCCGAGUGUAGCGGUGAAAUGCGUAGAUAUUCGGAGGAACACCAAUUGCGAAAGCACUCUACUGGGCCAUAACUGACACUGAGAGACGAUAGCUAGGGGAGCAAAUGGGAUU